rnacentral:lncRNA from 1 species
UCCGAGCCUGGUUCGGUGCCCGCCGCCCGCUGCGCGGGUGGCUCGCGGAGCUCUCUGCUAAAAAGCAGCGUGGGGGCGAGUCGCGCCUUCUAAGUAGCUCGGCACACAAGUGCGCGUGCCAGCCCCAUAAGCCAGGGAAAAGGCAGACACAACUAACAGACAACUGGAUCUGGUUUUCUGCACUUUUCGUUGCACCGACGGGGCGCUUGCUGUGGACACUGAUGCUGCUACCUGAACCCAACAAGAUUGGAGAGGAGGAAGAAGAAGAAGAAGAAGAAGAAGAAAAGGAAGAUAAUGGAUACAUGCAUAUCUCGAGGAAAGCAAUUAGGAGGAAAAACUGCUAAGAGGGAAUCCCAGGCAUAAGAAAAAUGUAAAAAUGGUUUCUCUUUUAAGAAAAUGUAGAGUGAUCUGUCUUUCUUCAUAUAAAAACUGUUUACAGAGAGAAAAGUCUGUAAAGCCACCACUGUGUCUGUUUGGGUGUCAGUUCUCUCAGGAUGAUACGAAAAGUCAAUAAGAGGCCAGGAACUUCUGAUCUUGAAUUCAUUCGCUUUUACAACCAUAGAAUUCUGGUGCAGUAAGGCAGCUGUAAAAGAAAACUUUGGAGCCACGUUAAGGCUGGGAAGAAACACUAUUUAGGAUCUCUGUCUUGGAUUUAUGUAAGAUAGAAUGACAUUUUGGAAUUUCUGUCUGAAAAAUACCUUUUCACCAGGCCCACUUUAAGGAUAUAAGUCAGCUGCACCCCCAAAAAGAAAAUCAAGAACAGUAAGUGAUAACAGUAAUGAAAAGAACUUGGUCAAGUUGCAUAUCUUUUAGGUGAUAUACCUCCUUUGUGAUAGCAGAACAAAUAGAGGAGGGGAAGUGAGUUCUUCAGAACAGCAUUGAGGUGAUGGGUCAGAUCUUAUCUGAAGCCCACUCCAUCUCCUAUUUUUUCUCUUACAAAAGCCAAUAAAUCAUCUUUAGUUCCUAACAUAGUUUACAUUAUUUUCUGCAAUUUUUAACUGAAAACAUUCUCACAUACUAGUUUGUAAAACAUGUUUAAGUAAAUGCAAAGGAACUGAAAUUAUCACAUCCAUAUUAUCAAACCAUAGUGCAAUGAAAUUGGAAAUAAAUGGUAAAAGAAACAAAAAAAAACUUCAUAAACACAUGGAAAUUAAAUAACACCCUCCUAAACAGCCG